AAAAGAAACUAACUAGGGAUUCCCCCAGUAACUGCGAGUGAAGAGGGAAGAGCUCAUCAUUGGAAUCUGGCAGUGUUGCACUGUCCGAGUUGUAGAUGAGGAGUAGUCCAUCAGGGCUGCAUGGCGUCCAAGUACAAUAGGCCGUCAGUGGGACAUCAUAGAGGGUGACAAUCCCGUCCUUGAUGCCAAUGUGCAAGUCCGCUACGAUGGCUAUCUCAGAGAGUCGAGCAGUUUGGGAUUUGCUGCUUAAACAUGGGAGGUAGAUUCCUUCUAAAGCUAAAUACAGGCGAGAGACCGAUAGAGAACAAGUACCGCAAGGGAAAGAUGAAAUAGAACUCUGUGAAGGGAGUCAAAAGGCGUGAAAUUGUUGCGAGAGAAGCGAUUCAAGUCAGCGUAGCUAGGCCCAUCAAGCCUCUCUUGCUUUGGACUAGCUUUGCCAGCGGUCUUGUCCUAGAGAAGACUUGACUUUGUAUGUCCAGCCUGGUAUGCACAGGUAGCCCCCUCUGGGGGGCAGUGACAUGGCUGGUGGAAUGGCUUGCAAUCGACCCGUCUUGAAACACGGACCAAGGAGUCUAACAUGUAUGCGAGUAUAAGGGUGGCAAACCCGUAUGCGCAAUGAAAGUGACUUUCGGUGAUUGAGAAUGGCCUGAUGACCAGACAAGCGAUAUUAUGUCCCUCGUACGGCCAUUGCCCAAGUUCCGUGGUAGAUCCCAUGAACAUGGAGUUGGAGCAUACAUGCUAGGACCCGAAAGAUGGUGAACUAUGCCUGGACAAAGCGAAGCCAAAGGAAACUCUGGUGGAGGCUUGUAGCGAUUCUGACGUGCAAAUCGAUCGUCUGAUCUGGGUAUAGGGGCGAAAGACUAAUCGAACCAUCUCAUAGCUGGUUCCUGCCGAAGUUUCCCUCAGGA
rnacentral:rRNA from 1 species